GGAAUUAUGCAAGCAAGACCUGUUAUUUCUCCUGUGUGUGCGUCAGUUUGGCAGGGCUGGGACGAGGAGGACUCGUGCGGGCACCUCCAGAGACAGCGGGAACGGGAGCGUGCUGCAGAGAAGGAAAGUUCCAGGUGAAUUGCCACGAGAGGAAAUACUUCCGAGGGGCUUCCCUCCAGAUAAGCCCUGAAUAUGCCGGGAGGUUUCAGCCGGGAGAAAGGAGCUGUGGAAGAAAAGCAGCCU